GACUCCUUCUGGGCUGGCUUCCCUGAAACGAGAGCAGCCCAGCCAGCUUGGUGAGUUCAGGGAUCAAGCCCCGCGCCCGCUCAUCCUCUGUCCAAGGUCACCGCCAGCUCCACCCGCUCGCCCAGGCAGAAAGUACCCACACAGUCCUCCGUGACCUCAUCCUCAAGCAUCUCUCUGGCAGCUCCGGGUCCGAAGGUGCUCCUUGCCCAGUGCCUGCUGACCACCCGCUUCUCCUGCAGAAUAAGGGUGUUCGGGCCUGGAGCCUGGGGUCAGGAGCAGAGGACUUUGAAGCACAGGUGCGGAGCUAUGCAGCCAGAAUAAGGGAGGAGGCUUACACCCGGGAUCUGGCUGAUGGUGACAGUGAGACCAUCAGGUCGGAGAAGCUCUGGUGUGGUCACAGCCAUGUCCCCCUGCUCCGCCUGCCGACGGUCUUCCUGGAUCUCCUGUGGGAGGGCCCGGAGUCAGCACAGGCGAUGGGCCCCCUGGACGCACAGAGACACAGAUGGUGACAGGCCUACACAGAGAGACACCAGUGGGACACCAGGGGGCAGAGGCACCACAUCACAAGUCCCCGAGACCCUGGCCUCUGAGAGGGACCAUGCUCCACCCCAGUCCUGGCCCUAGGCCCAGAGACAGGGUCCUGAGCCCACAGGGAGAAACUACCAUGCAGAUCUCUGUGGAUCAGCCAAAGAGUGGCCGUCAAGUUGGUGCUCCCAGCCUCCACCCAGCCACUCACCUGGUACCUGCGCAGUAAGGCUUCGUUCUUCCUGCGCAGGGCCACUAUCCUCCGGUCCAGUUCUGCAUCCUUCUCCUCCUGCCUGCUCAUCGAGGACUCGGCUCGUUUGAUCAGAGAGAGAGAGGGAAAGUGAGAAAACAAGCCACGUCUGGGACUCGAACCGUGGUCAGCCACGUGGGAUUCUAGCACCUUUAACCACCAUGCCACCUGUUAGCCCAGCAUUGAUUUAGUUUAAGGAAUGCUGAGCAUACCACUCCUGGCAGGCCCAGCUGUUUGGGUUUCAAGCACUUGGCGUGGCUGGCCCUUUCAGACACUCUGACCCCGAGAAAGGAAGCAGCCUUGCUCAGGAAAGCUUCGCCCCAACUCUGCCUCACACAGCUGAGCUGGUCACCCUGCCCAGGAGGCAGCCUGCCCAGAAUCGCAUCGUAGAACCUCUGGAACCAAGGUUUGGGGUACUGGGAAAAGGGGUGGCCCUGACUGUAGGGCCUGAGGUAAGUGUCAGGAGCCCCUGUAUUCCCUAUAGCUCUGAUUGGUCGGCCUCCAUGUCUCCUCUAUCUCCAGAGCAGGAUGCCCCACAGCCUUCUCUCCUCCCCAGACCAGCCUAGGCAGCUAGAGGUGCAUCAUUGUUCCCCAUGAACUACCCAUCCUUCCCCACUGCUCAUCCCCUUCCCUGCCUAGCACCCCUGCUCCACGCCCCACCUCAGUCGUCCCAGAGUUCCCAUCCUGCUUGCAAAUGCCACUGCGUGCUCUCCCUUCCCUUCCUGCCGGAUGUUCCCACUGAGUCAGACCCGUCUACUUUCCCAGCACCGUGACGCACCAGGCUCCUCAUCCCGGCCUCUCACACAUGUUCACACACACACUGCUCCUUCUCCCACCCUCCCUGUGUGCUGCCCCCCACAGGCUGCUGAGUUCCAGCUCAGUCUGAGAAGGCUGCAGAAGCCUCCAGAAGCCUCUAGUUCCCCAUCGCCUGCCCUACUCGAUGUUGUUGGAGCUGGGAAGUCCUCCCUCUUUGGAACUCAGGCCCCCAGGUCAGGUCUGGAGACCAGUCUAAACAGGAGGCCGCAGGGAUGAGAGGCUCUCUGAGGGCAGGGCGGAGUACUAAGAGCCUCUGGAUCCCCAGGACCUGGCACAGUGGCCCCCGCACACUACAGAGCCUCUAUCAGCACCUGCAGAAGGAAUACGUGAUCCUGUGCAGAGGCUACACAGCGAGGGCGUGUGCUUCACCAAGCCGCCUGGAGAUGAAAUGAAAUAAUACCCAUAACAUCCUCACCUGGAACGUGUGACCCAGAGUAAGGGCCCAAAACAGCUUUCUCCUGGGCCAGCAGAUGAUGUAGCAGUACAUCUCUGGACUCCCACCUGGCCGGUCACGGUUCAAGUCCCAGGCCUGACAGCUUGAAACACGCCAGGCUCGUGUGCAUGCGUGCCCAAG